rnacentral:rRNA from 1 species
CGGAACACGUACGCAACCUUCCUUUAACUGGAGGAUAGCCCCUCGAAAGAGGGAUUAAUACUCCGUAACAUAAUGAAGUGGCAUCACUUUAUUAUUAUAGCUCCGGCGGUUAAAGAUGGGCGUGCGCCUGAUUAGAUAGUUGGCGGGGUAACGGCCCACCAAGUCUGCGAUCAGUAACUGGUGUGAGAGCACGACCAGUUACACGGGCACUGAGACACGGGCCCG